AAUCAUUCGCAAUGGACGAAAGUCUGACGGUGCGACGCCGCGUGGAGGAUGAAGGCCCUAGGGUCGUAAACUCCUGUCAUCAGGGAGUAAACACUCAUAAAGUAACUGUUAUGGGGACUGAUAGUACCUGAAGAGGAAGGGACGGCAAACUUCGUGCCAGCAGCCGCGGUAAUACGAAGGUCUCAAGCGUUGUUCGGAUUUACUGGGCGUAAAGCGUCUGUAGGCGGUGUGGUAAGUCAGAUGUGAAAUCCCGGGGCUCAACCCCGGAACUGCAUCCGAUACUGCCAUACUUGAGGGUCGGAGGGGAGUCUGGAAUUCUCGGUGUAGCAGUGAAAUGCGUAGAUAUCGAGAGGAACACUAGUGGCGAAGGCGAGACUCUGGACGACACCUGACGCUGAGAGACGAAGGCCUGGGUAGCGAAAAGGAUUAGAUACCCUUGUAGUCCUGGCAGUA
rnacentral:rRNA from 1 species